CCUAGGAAGAGCCUACCAGGUCAAGAUAUCGAUGUGAUGGGACAAGCAAAGCAGGAGGGAGUCGAGGUGGGGAAACGGACCCGGCGUAUUCGGAGGUAGCAAGGGGCGGGAGGCGGCGGAGGUCAGUCGUCAGGGGGCGGAGGCUGGUUCCGCGAGAGCGGCCGGCGGUAGUGGUCCGCUUCCCCGAGAGAAGAGGAGAUGGUUGACCGCGCCGCGCUCCUUGAUUGGCAGUUCCGCAUAAAGGAUAACCACCAUUUAUUCCCUCGGGAUCGAAAGGGUCCCAUAGUACACGGACGAGUGGACAUAGUGACACAACCAGUACCCUUACAUUUUGGUCGUUGGACUUUCAAGGUUUGAGGUCUUAAAUCAAUAAAUGAACUUGACCCGGUACCUAGCCUUCUUAGUUUGAGGUGUCCCAGUUUAACGUGUUCACUAACAACUUAAAGAUCUCCAACGACAGUCGAGGUAACAGAAGGAGUUUCCAAAGAUAGGGUGAGCACGUAAACUCUCCUCUUCCAUGUACUUAUAUCAACAGGUCUUUCGACACGUGGGGGUCGAACGACUGAUGUAGGUGAGACACUAAUGACCGGAAGAUGGAAAGUAUGUUUUCCCUGACCAACUCUCCCAGCAUCAUUAGAAGGUGCUGUUUCUAGUACAUGGUGAGCUCUUCAAACACAAGUUCGAACGUCACUUGGUUAGGAUACCGAGGCUCAAUCUCCUCAGGUCGGACCUUAAACGAGACGCCCGCAAGAACUAGUUUGACUGGCAGCGACCUGGAGAAUGUUUCGGGGAAGGUAGUCUAUCGUCGACCCUCUAGUGGCGGAUGAAGGCUAGGGAGGGACGUCUGCCACGCUUCCUGUUCCUCCUCCUGCUCCGAGCCGACACCUAGCGGUGCCUGUGGUUCCGCACCUACGUCGGCGGCGUCUAUUGGGGGUAGUUCAGUUACUCCACACUAGGAAACUUCUACGUCGAGAUGGAUCUUGUUGGACCUGGUAGUCGUCUCCGUCUCCUAGGACGAAGCAUCGCUGCUUGGUGAUCGGAGGGAGGGACCAAGUACAUACGAGCGUUCAGCUCGUCUUGUAUUAGACUAUAAACACCCGUUAGACCGGGUCAACGCUUGUUCCAGCGACAGAAAUAAUAAAACACCGACAACAAUACCACUUAGACCUGUUCCCUGUCCAACUCGACAAGAACUCAUCUGGGCCCCCUUCCUUCUGUAUCUCGUCUCCACCAAUACAUUACACUUUU
rnacentral:rRNA from 1 species